AGCAGACGCAUGCGACCAGACGCAAAAGCGUGAGAGCUGCCCGGCGGUAGUUUGGCUUUGGUUGGGGGCGUCCGUCCGUCGUGGUUGGCGUUGGCUACUGAGCUGGGACCAUGAGGGCGGCAUGCACGCACGCACGCGUGCGUAUAAUUAUGCGGAGCCGGUGACGCGAAAAGAAUGGGUCGACAGGCAUGGCGACCACUUCACUUGGAGCACACGCUUUCCAGCUUCUGUGCCCUGGUUUGUUCCUUGUAAAAUUGCAUGCUUAGCUUUAGCGGAUAGAUGCAGCUCCCGUCAAUCAUCGCCGCUGCCUUGCUUCCAGCCGAUUGUCGUGCUUUUGCUCUUGCACGAUGAUUAUCAUAUCUAUCGGAUAAGUCUCCUAAGCAAGCUUUGGCUAGUACGUUUAAUAACAAAAUAUAGACAGGAAGGAGCGCUACUAAUUUCAUUAAGACGGAAAAUAAAUAAA
rnacentral:lncRNA from 1 species